GGGCUGUAGCCAUGAGGAAGAGCAUCUGCUUUGCACGCAGAAGGUUCCAGGUUCGAGUCCUGGCA